AUUGAACGCUGGCGGCAGGCCUAACACAUGCAAGUCGAACGGUAACAGGAAGCAGCUUGCUGCUUCGCUGACGAGUGGCGGACGGGUGAGUAAUGUCUGGGAAACUGCCUGAUGGAGGGGGAUAACUACUGGAAACGGUAGCUAAUACCGCAUAACGUCGCAAGACCAAAGAGGGGGAACUUAGGGCCUCUUGCCAUCGGAUGUGCCCAGAUGGGAUUAGCUAGUAGGUGGGGUAACGGCUCACCUAGGCGACGAUCCCUAGCUGGUCUGAGAGGAUGACCAGCCACACUGGAACUGAGACACGGUCCAGACUCCUACGGGAGGCAGCAGUGGGGAAUAUUGCACAAUGGGCGCAAGCCUGAUGCAGCCAUGCCGCGUGUAUGAAGAAGGCCUUCGGGUUGUAAAGUACUUUCAGCGGGGAGGAAGGGAGUAAAGUUAAUACCUUUGCUCAUUGACGUUACCCGCAGAAGAAGCACCGGCUAACUCCGUG
rnacentral:rRNA from 1 species